UCAGGAUGAACGCUAGCGGCAGGCUUAACACAUGCAAGGUCGAGGGGCAUCGUGGAGUAGCAAUACUCUGACGGCGACCGGCGAGAGGGUGAGUAACGCGUGAGCAACAUGCCCGAUAGUGGAGGAUAGUCGAUGGAAACGUCGCGUAAUACUCCGUAACAUAAGGGACCGCAUGAUCCUUUAUUAAUAGAUUUAUCGCUAUCGGAUUGGCUCGCGUACCAUUAGUUAGUUGGCGGGGUAACGGCCCGCCAAGGCGACGAUGGUUAGGGGUUCUGAGAGGAAGGUCCCCCACAUUGGAACUGAGACACGGUCCAGACUCCUACGGGAGGCAGCAGUGAGGAAUAUUGGACAAUGGCCGGAAGGCUGAUCCAGCCAUGCCGCGUGCGGGAAAGACGGCCCUAUGGGUUGUAAACCGCUUUUGUUGGGGAGCAAUAAGGUCCACGUGUGGAUUGAUGAGAGUACCCAGCGAAUAAGCAUCGGCUAACUCCGUGCCAGCAGCUGC
rnacentral:rRNA from 1 species